CCAUUGGACUUCUUAAAGUCCACAAAAAAAUAUUAUAAAUUUAAA
rfam:Pythium ultimum DAOM BR144 ctg_1117875580754, whole genome shotgun sequence.